AUUGAACGCUGGCGGCAUGCUUUACACAUGCAAGUCGAACGGCAGCGCGGGCUUCGGCCUGGCGGCGAGUGGCGAACGGGUGAGUAAUGCAUCGGAACGUGCCCAGUAGUGGGGGAUAGCCCGGCGAAAGCCGGAUUAAUACCGCAUACGACCUGAGGGUGAAAGCGGGGGACCGAACGGCCUCGCGCCAUUUGAGCGGCCGAUGUCGGAGUAGCUAGUUGGUGGGGUAAAGGCUUACCAAGGCGGCGAUCCGUAGCUGGUCUGAGAGGAAGACCAGCCACACUGGGACUGAGACACGGCCCAGACUCCUACGGGAGGCAGCAGUGGGGAAUUUUGGACAAUGGGGGCGACCCUGAUCCAGCCAUGCCGCGUGCGGGAAGAAGGCCUUCGGGUUGUAAACCGCUUUUGUUCGGGAAGAAAUCCUCUGGGCUAAUACCCCGGGGGGAUGACGGUACCGGAAGAAUAAGCACCGGCUAACUACGUG
rnacentral:rRNA from 1 species